UGUUUGCAUAGUGUGUGUAUAUAAUGCAGUGUUUUUGUGUAGUGUGUUUAUAUAAUGCACACUACACAAACACACUGCAUUAUAUACACACACUAUACAAAC
rnacentral:miRNA from 1 species